UAUUAAACUAAAUUAUUUUCAUCAUAAACAAAGCAAUGGAUUCUUUUCGUCCAAAGCUUCGAUGUGAUAUUUUAUUAAAAUUUCAAGUUGAAAAUUAGUUUUAAAGUUUAGUAACGUGUAUAGUAAAACAAGAUUUAUAUUACAAUAAUUUUUACUAUUUAUGUGGUUAACAUAACAACACAGUGAGGUUAACAACAACAACAACACAGGUCUAUCUUGUAUGAUGUGACUAUCUUAUUCAAUAUUUCUGGUUUUGAGGAAAGCAUUUUCCCAUAAUUUCAAAUGUCUACCUUGUAUGAUGUGAUCACCUUCUUAUUCAAUAUUUCUGGUUUCGAGAAAAGCAUUUGCCCGUCAUAUCAAACGGGGUGAAAUUUCCAUUGCUGAAACAAGUGUCAACUCAGCGGUUCCACACCUUCAGCAGAGGGGAUGAUAAAGAUGCACACUUUCGAUCAAGUUACUGAGGACAGUGGAUAGAAUUGAUAUGGUGUUUUGUGACAAUGUUAUGGAGGGUAAUGGUGGAUGAGUGAGGGAUGACACUAGCAGGACAAUAGGAAUCGCGUUUGAGAGAACUGAAAUGCAUUUCAAGUGAGUAUAUUUCAUCUUGGUCAAGUAUUCAAGUGUAUGAAACUACUGUCUGUAAGACAGGUAUUACGAAGUAAGCAAAUACAGUUGUAGCAAAUAAUAUUAUAUGUUUGCUAAGUAAAAUUAAUUUAAAUUCAUUCAUAUCUGUGUUAUUGAUUAAUAUAUUAUCCUAUUCCAUUCUAGCACCUCUGUGAAUUUAAUAUUCACAAGUCAUAUAUUUUGAUUUGUGUAAAGAAUACCUUGACAAAAAUGGAAA